UCCAGCUCUCAGUCAGCUGUCCAGGCAGUGUGUGUUUGGCUCAGUGUUACAGUGCUGGUAGAGGAAGCUUCUGUGUGUUUGACUGCAGCAGCUUCUGUUUUAGAGCGUGCUGCUGUUGAACUGCCGCAGGGCUCGGCCCAGAGUGGCCUGUCCUGGUUCUGACAGCAGGGCGGGCCGACCACAGGGUCAGACAAA
rnacentral:snoRNA from 1 species